AAGGGGAGCAAUCCCUGAGUAAAGUGGCGACCGGGUGAGUAACACGUGACUAACCUACCCUCGAGUGUGGAAUAACAUCGGGAAACCGAUGCUAAUACCGCAUAACAUCGCAAGAUCAAAGGAGCAAUCCGCUUGAGGAGGGGGUCGCGGCUGAUUAGCUAGUUGGCGGGGUAACGGCCCACCAAGGCGAAGAUCGGUAGCCGGCCUGAGAGGGCGCACGGCCACACUGGAACUGAAACACGGUCCAGACUCCUACGGGAGGCAGCAGUGGGGAAUUUUGCGCAAUGGGGGAAACCCUGACGCAGCAACGCCGCGUGGAGGAUGAAGUCCCUUGGG
rnacentral:rRNA from 1 species